UUGGAGAUACAGGGGGACAAAAAAACGCACAACAGCAAGAAAACCUCAUUUUAUUGAGGUAUUAAAGCAAUGCACAUAUUGUCCCAGAGCAUGAAGGAUUAUUUUAGCACUUCUAGUGACUACUGAGGAAGGAAACUUCUGAUAGCUGAGUCCUUCAGUCUGGCAGCAAAACCAAAGACAAAUCCAUUGGCAGCAGAUCAGAAAGUGUGGUUUGGGAGGGUGUUGAAAGUUUCUUCGUGGUUGCUCUGGGCUUUUCCUAGCGUGCAAACGUAUUUAACAGCGUGACAGUUACAGAAAGAGAUGAGCAAGAGGAAGAUUUCAGGAGUCAUUGAUGGAAGAGACAUCCAGAAGCUCCAUGACAAGCUGAGUAAGACAGUGCUGAAAAGGAGUCCCCUGGGAACCCUUCCUGUAUUGUGUUCUGGAAGCCUUUAAAAGAAUUUGCAAAGUGACUCCUGCAGACUGGUGAUGGGAACAGGGGCUUGAGCAUUAAGGCAUUUCUAGGAAUGGCAGAGAUGUAGGAUUUUUCCAGGUAUAAUGAAGAAUUCCUUUAAACCUAAGAACACUGGAUCCUGAAGGAGGAAUUUAAAUUUGUUUCUUCAAUGACAUCAUCUACUGGCAGCCUUUGACAUAAAUCUGCUCUUCCUCGGAACUCAGACUGUCCUUGCAGAAGAGCUUGUUCUGUAACUAUUUGAUCUGUGUGCAGACUUCAAGGGAGGAAAGCUGCCUGCCACCUGCUUUCCAAGGAACUGCCAGUUUUGCCUGGAGAAAAUAGCCCAUCUGCUAAGUUUCAUUCUUCAGCCCAGGUUACUGGUGAAGACUUUAUAUGUACAUCCUUGUUUUUAAUACUUCCAGCUGUUCAUUCUUCCCAUGAAAGGAAAUCCCUGGGUAGAGACAUAACAAUCCUGAAGAUGUGUUUAACGUGGUGCUGCCAGUGAACUCUGAGAAAGUUUCAUCUGUUACAAAAGAGGAGGUCUAAAACUGAGCUGGUUGGCUGGAUGAUUGAAGGGGACAGGUAGCAUCUGCAUAUUUUCAGUCUGAGUAAUUCAAAUUCUCCUCUGAAAGCCAUCACUCCCGGUGGACUUUGUAGCAGUCUCUGGAAAUGGAA